rnacentral:rRNA from 1 species
UACGUAGGGUGCGAGCGUUGUCCGGAAUUAUUGGGCGUAAAGAGCUUGUAGGUGGCUCGUUGCGUCGGGAGUGAAAACCUGCGGCUUAACCGCAGGCCUGCUUCCGAUACGGGCGAGCUAGAGUUCGGCAGGGGAGACUGGGAAUUCCUGGUGUAGCGGUGGAAUGCGCAGAUAUCAGGAGGAACACCGGUGGCGAAGGCGGGUCUCGUGGGCCGAUACUGACACUGAGAAGCGAAAAGCGUGGGGAGCGAACGG